GUUGUGGCUCAGUGGUAGAGUGUUUGUCUGGCAUGCCUGAUGUCCUGGGUUCAACCCCCAGCACA
rnacentral:tRNA from 1 species